UACGGGGGGGGCAAGCGUUGUUCGGAAUUACUGGGCGUAAAGGGCUCGUAGGCGGCCAACUAAGUCGGACGUGAAAUCCCUCGGCUUAACCGGGGAACUGCGUCCGAUACUGGAUGGCUUGAGAUUUGGAGAGGGAUGCGGAAUUCCAGGUGUAGCGGUGAAAUGCGUAGAUAUCUGGAGGAACACCGGUGGCGAAGGCGGCAUCCUGGACCAACACUGACGCUGAUGAGCGAAAGCCAGGGGAGCAAACGGG
rnacentral:rRNA from 1 species